rnacentral:snRNA from 1 species
AUCACUUCUCGGCCUUUUGGCUAAGAUCGAGUGUAGUAUCUAUGCACAAUGUUACAUUGACUUUGCAAAUAUCUAUGUAAUAUUUUUCUUACUUGUGUAGAUUUGAGCUUCAUAUGAAGAGAGUCAAAUUGUAU